rnacentral:misc_RNA from 1 species
GUUAAACAGGAGGACAUUCUGCAAUAAGAUAUUGCAGAUAAUUAAAGAUGAGGGAGCAUUUAGUACCAUGCAUACUUUUCUUGUGCAUCUUCAAAUGGCUUCCAUGGAGCAGCAACCUGCCAUUGCCACUCUUCUUCUUCAGCUUGAUCUCUUGGUUGAGCCACGGAAGAUGAGCAUUUAUAGGGAAGAAGCUUUAGAGACACUUAUUGAAGCACUACACAAAAAGGACUUUUCUAAUUCUCAAAUGAUGGCUCUAGAUGCUUUAGUAUCUCUCUCUGGGCGUAUUACUUCAUCUGGGAGGUCCUACAUGGAAGCCUCGUUACUCAAGAUUGCAGGGUUUGAUCAACCUUACAAUGCCUUAAUGAAGGCAGAAGGACUGAAGAACGGAGAAAAUGAUUUGGCGGAAACAAUGGAAGAUGAAGAGAAAGCUGCAAGUUCUUGGGAGAAAAAAGUAGCUUUUGUACUUUGCAAUCAUGAAAAGGGUUCUAUCUUUAAAGCUUU